rnacentral:rRNA from 1 species
AAUUCGCAGUGUAGAUGCUGUGUACCCGAGGCUAGAGGGAAAGAAGCGGUGAAACUUUACUAGAGAUUGGGAUUGAACAUUGAACCUACAUGUGUAGGAUAGGUGGGAGACUUUGAAGAUGAGACGCUAGUUUUGUUGGAGUCGUCCUUGAAAUACCACCCUUGUAGUUUUGAUGUUCUAACGUUGGCCCCUGAAUCGGGGUUACGGACAGUGCCUGGUGGGUAGAUUGACUGGGGCGGUCUCCUCCCAAAGAGUAACGGAGGAGCACGAAGGUUGGCUAAGUACGGUCGGACAUCGUACGGUUAGUGUAAUGGUAGAAGCCAGCUUAACUGCGAGACAGACACGUCGAGCAGGUACGAAAGUAGGUCAUAGUGAUCCGGUGGUUCUGAAUGGAAGGGCCAUCGCUCAACGGAUAAAAGGUACUCCGGGGAUAACAGGCUCAUACCGCCCAAGACUACAUAU